rnacentral:rRNA from 1 species
GAAACACGGACCAAGGAGUUCAACUGGACUGCGAGUCGUAGAGUAUCACAUUAAACUCAUUACGGCAAAGCGAAAGCAAAUUAAUGCCAACUACUGAGUAUUUAUAUAUUAUGUAGUGCAGCAUAGGCUGAUUAUGAAUACGCGUAGAAGGUUUUCCUUGUGCGUGUACGUGCAAUUUUAUUAUUGCAUGAUUAAUCAAGCUAAAGAGCAAAUUAGUUGAGACCCGAAAGAUGGUGAACUAUGCUCGGACAUGGUGAAGCCAGGUGAAAACUUGGUGGAAGCUUGCGUUGUGCGGAACUGACGUGCAAAUCGUUGCCGCCUGAACUGAGUAUAGGGGCGAAAGACUCAUCGAACCAUCUAGUAGCUGGUUCCCUCCGAAGUUUCCCUUAGGAUAGCUCGAAUUUACAAAAAAGGCCAAAAGAGUAACACAUUAGGGUAAAGCAAUGAGACGCGGUAUCUGUGGGUCUUAUUUUAAUGACCUCGGCCUUCUCUCAAACUUUAAAUCUGUGCGAUUACGUGUUUAUUUACUUAAAAUAUCGGUAUUUAUACUGAUAGUGAAAUCACGUUUUUCAUAUUGUAUCAAAAAUUCGUAGUGGGCCAUUUCUGGUAAGCAGAACUGGCGAUGAGGGAUUCAACCUGACGUUUUCAAGAUAAGCCGGGCUUAAUCAUAUCUGCUCCAACCUUCCGAUAAACGCGA